UACGUAGGGUGCGAGCGUUGUCCGGAAUUAUUGGGCGUAAAGAGCUCGUAGGCGGCUCGUUGCGUCGGCUGUGAAAACCCGCAGCUCAACUGUGGGCUUGCAGCCGAUACGGGCGGGCUGGAGUUCGGUAGGGGAGACUGGAAUUCCUGGUGUAGCGGUGAAAUGCGCAGAUAUCAGGAGGAACACCGGUGGCGAAGGCGGGUCUCUGGGCCGAUACUGACGCUGAGGAGCGCAAGCGUGGGGAGCGAACAGG
rnacentral:rRNA from 1 species